UUGUUAGAAACUGAUAUUGGUGGCUGGUCGUAGCCAUGGGAUCUCCAGCUACCUGUGAGAGUAACCUGGAGAGACUCUGAGAGCACAGGGCAGCCUAAUCCCUGUCGCUACCACUCAACUUUGCUAUAUUU
ensembl:snoRNA